rnacentral:rRNA from 1 species
AGAUUGAACGCUGGCGGCAGGCCUAACACAUGCAAGUCGAGCGGUAGAGAGGUGCUUGCAUCUCUUGAGAGCGGCGGACGGGUGAGUAAUGCCUAGGAAUCUGCCUAGUGGUGGGGGAUAACGUUCGGAAACGGACGCUAAUACCGCAUACGUCCUACGGGAGAAAGCGGGGGACCUUCGGGCCUCGCGCCAUUAGAUGAGCCUAGGUCGGAUUAGCUAGUUGGUGAGGUAAUGGCUCACCAAGGCGACGAUCCGUAACUGGUCUGAGAGGAUGAUCAGUCACACUGGAACUGAGACACGGUCCAGACUCCUACGGGAGGCAGCAGUGGGGAAUAUUGGACAAUGGGCGAAAGCCUGAUCCAGCCAUGCCGCGUGUGUGAAGAAGGUCUUCGGAUUGUAAAGCACUUUAAGUUGGGAAGGAAGGGUUUGUAAACCUAAUACGUUGACAACUUUAGACGUUAACCGACAGAAUAAGCACCCGGCUAACUUCGUUGCCAGCAGCCGUA